rnacentral:misc_RNA from 1 species
GAUGAAGAACGUAGCGAAAUGCGAUAACUAAUGUGAAUUGCAGCAUUCAGUGAAUCAUCGAGUCUUUGAACGCACAUUGCGCCCCCUGGUAUUCCGGGGGGCAUGCCUGUCCGAGCGUCAUUGCUGCCCUCAAGCACGGCUUGUGUGUUGGGCUCCGUCCCCCCGGGGACGGGCCCGAAAGGCAGCGGCGGCACCGAGUCCGGUCCUCGAGCGUAUGGGGCUUUGUCACCCGCUCUGUAGGCCCGGCCGGCGCCAGCCGACAACCCAUCAUCCUUUUCAGGUUGACCUCGGAUCAGGUAGGGAUACCCGCUGAACUUAAGCAUAUCAAUAAGCGGAGGA